UGGUUUAGUCACUGGGAGCUCUGCUGAGUCCGGUGCACUCACCUGGGCCGAAGAAAGGGAUCAGAUCUCUGAAUCCCCUGGAGCUACUGUUGGAGGGUCCUGCUAACAGCUAUGCCCGCCUCCAAAGACCCAAGAUGAAGAUGCUGAUUGGGCCACUAAAUGCUGGCGGACUGAGGACGGGGGCUUUUGCCUGCCUGACAAUAAAUCAUAUUCUCAGUUGAAUAAUACUUUCUAGACUGAAAGCAGAA